GACAAGAAGGGCAUAGUGGUCGGCAGCGAGUAGCAGUGAGAGAGUGAGUGAGUACCCUCCCCCUUGGAGACACACGCGACUUCUGACGGACCGCGGGAGUGAGUGAGUGAGUGAGUGAGUGGUGAAUGAGCGUGUCUGCCAGCAGCUCACAGACUUUUCCGCGUGGGAGUGAGUAUCGAGAACUCCGUCCCCAUCAUCAAAACCAUCCACCCCCUAUCAUCAUUUAUUCUGUGACUUAGCCCUUAGCGCGUGCGUGCAUGCACACGUCUUUGUGUGCCCAUGUGCCCUCGUGUGUGCGUUAGCCUCUAGAGAGGGGAGGGGUCGACAGUCUUUGCGUUAGUGCGCCCCCCACACCGAGCCGUGGGAGGGAGAGAGGUAACGGAGGACGAGUAGGAGGAGGAGGGAGGAAAGGGGUACACAGCACGGAUAAAAGGGGGCGUGAGAGCUAUAGCAUCCGGCUCUUGCCUUCAAAUUCCUUGACAGUCCGACCCAGAACUUAUAAGGUGUGUGUGUGUCUGUCCUGCAACCAUCAGCACCCAAGCGUCAAGAAACAUCACAACCAAAGGGACAACGCAGCUAUGAAGAUCUGAACUUGUGGACCUUACGAGAGUGAAUUUGUUCUUAAGACAUUCCGAGACACCAAGAAUAACCGUCAAAGGAAGUACCCGAACCAUCUGCAGUCUUGAUGAGAACUGCGACACCGAAGGUCAUACAUUCUAUGCACGGAAUUAGCAACAACCUCUGAGCAAUUCGACUUGACAGGAUUUUGAUACGUCGUGUAGAGUCAAUGGUACAACGUGUCAGCAGUUGCAAGAGUGAGUCGUACAAAGUGUUAUUCGUAGAAAGUCUCAAAAGUAGAAAGGGUCAGUCGUAGAAAGUAUUAGAAGCAGAGAGAGACAGUUGCAGAAAGAGUGGACCUCAGAAAGUGUGAGCUUAUGAAAA